CGUAGGGGGCAAGCGUUGUCCGGAUUUAUUGGGCGUAAAGCGCUCGCAGGUGGUUCGUUGCGUCGUGCGUGAAAGACCCCGGCUCAACUGGGGAGGGUCGUGCGAUACGGGCGAACUGGAGGCCAGUAGGGGGAUGCGGAAUUCCGGGUGUAGUGGUGGAAUGCGUAGAGAUCCGGAGGAACACCAGCGGCGAAGGCGGCAUCCUGGACUGGUCCUGACACUCAUGAGCGAAAGCGUGGGGAGCGAUCCGGAUUAGAUACCCGGGUAGUCCACGCUGUAAACGAUGCGCACUAGGUGUCGGGGGUAUCGACCCCCUCGGUGCCGCAGCUAACGUGAUAAGUGCGCCGCCUGGGGACUACGGCCGCAAGGCUA
rnacentral:rRNA from 1 species